CACCGGUUUGCCUUACGUAACGGGCGAGUGAAGCGGCAAAAGCUCAAAUUUGAAAUCUGGUACCUUCGGUGCCCGAGUUGUAAUUUGGAGAGGGCAACUUUGACGGGCCGUUCCUUGUCUAUGUUCCUUGGAACAGGACGACCUCAUAGAGGGUGAGAAUCCCGUGUGGCGAGGAGUGCGGUUCUUUGUAAAGUGCCUUCGAAGAGUCGAGUUGUUUGGGAAUGCAGCUCUAAGUGGGUGGUAAAUUCCAUCUAAAGCUAAAUAUUGGCGAGAGACCGAUAGCGAACAAGUACAGUGAUGGAAAGAUGAAAAGAACUUUGAAAAGAGAGUGAAAAAGUACGUGAAAUUGUUGAAAGGGAAGGGCAUUUGAUCAGACAUGGUGUUUUGUGCCCUCUGCUCCUUGUGGGUAGGGGAAUCUCGCAUUUCACUGGGCCAGCAUCAGUUUUGGUGGCAGGAUAAAUCCAUAGGAAUGUAGCUUGCCUCGGUAAGUAUUAUAGCCUGUGGGAAUACUGCCAGCUGGGACUGAGGACUGCGACGUAAGUCAAGGAUGCUGGCAUAAUGGUUAUAUGCCGCCCGUCUUGAACCCCGGACCAA
rnacentral:rRNA from 1 species